CGUGUUGUGAGCAACACACACACACACACACACACACACACACACACACACGUAACAAAAAAUCAGACAGAAGACCCUUUGGUACUCGGUUGUCACAGGUGCUCCAGGCAGAGGAAAGAUGGUGAGACGGAGAUGGCUCGGCGUGGAAGGGCGUUUGUCACCAAGACCAACAACCUAAAUUCCAUCCGUGGAACAUACAUGGUUGGGGGACAGAACUGACUCCUCUUCCCAUCAUUGGCAAAGAAAUGCAGUGUUGGACCGUAUAGAAAGUGAGUCACAGGAGCCAUGGUGCCAGAAGUCCCUGAAGAGAGAGAGAUGGAAUAACCUGGACGGAUGCAUGCAAAUCACCUGCUAUCAUCACCUGGUGGCGAAAUACCAUCCUUGGUAACUGUGACUCAGAAAUUCGCUAAUGACACGGGCAGCGGCUGUGACCUCAAUCCUGCCCUCACUGACGGAGACUAACGCAAGCACGCUGCAGCUGAUAAGUCUCUCUGGAAUCUGAACCCCAGCCUACCCUGCUGCCCCGUGUCCCCGGACAAGCCCAUUUAUGGAGGCGAGAGCUCACAGCCUCCUCGCAGUGUGCUUUUGAGCUGGGUUCCCACCAGCAGGCUGAUAGUUUUUAUAGACUUCACAGAAUCUAAUGAUCAAUUCAUUUUCCCACUUUCAUUUGUCAAAGGCAUUUUCAUCUGCCAAUCAGAACAUCUAAUCAGAGAGAGGCGUUCAGAGUCACCCCA